rnacentral:snoRNA from 1 species
CCUUCCCCUCAGGACGUUGCAGGUGUGGCUGCUGUGUCUUGUGUGCAUCAGUAGUGGCAGGGAGGAGAAAAGCUAUGUCUAAGCUCAGUGUUCUGACCUGGGAACUUCUGAAUGAUUAGUAGUAGCCUAACAU